rnacentral:rRNA from 1 species
UACAGAGGGGGCAAGCGUUGUUCGGAAUUACUGGGCGUAAAGGGCGCGUAGGCGGCCCGCUAAGUCGAACGUGAAAUCCCCGAGCUCAACUCGGGAACUGCGUCCGAUACUGGCGGGCUUGAAUCCGGGAGAGGGAUGCGGAAUUCCAGGUGUAGCGGUGAAAUACGUAGAUAUCUGGAGGAACACCGGUGGCGAAGGCGGCAUCCUGGACCGGCAUUGACGCUGAGGCGCGAAAGCUAGGGGAGCAAACGGG